GGGCAAUUGGUCUAGGGGUAUGAUUUUCGAUCCGCAUUGUUGCUUCCUUCGAAAGGUCACCGGUUCGAAUCCGGUAUUGUCCA